CAGAGAUGGCGGAGCAGCGCCGGUGGCAAGGCGGAAGACGGCUGUUCAUAAAAAGAUGGGGAGAAGAGGCUUCGAUGGUUCAGCUCGCCGGAGAUGAAUAAAGGGGGAAGUCUCAGCCUCUCUUUGCCAUUAACCUCGCCGUAACCUUGUGAGUUCACGACAAUGGUGGUCACAGAUGCUGAAGGUCCUUUUGUUGGGGAGAUUACUUGUGGAACUUUACUGCAAAAUUUGCAGAUAAAUCUCUCAACUAUAACUUUCUUUCUUACAGACAUUGCAAGGCUUUUAUUAAUUCUUGUGUGGUGUGGAUUUUUUUUACAACAGAAAUCUUGGAUGAAGUUGGUAAAAGUGAUGAGAGAGUGUCUUGUUUACAAGAAAAAAUUUGAACAGGCUGCCAAGUCCCGAGCCGAGCUUCUUCAGAUCUUGUCUGAUGCUAGUGCUUAACUUUCCAGAAAGAGAAGUACAAAAACUUUAGCUGUGACAUCUCAAGCCAUUGAGAUGAUGUAAGAGAACAUAGGCUUAAGGAGAUGGCAGAGAAAGCUAGUGGUGGUGGUGGUGUAGGUGAAGCCGAACAAGAAGAGAAGAAAGAGACGUAGAGCUGUAGAUUUUGGUUUAUUAGGUUUUGUUUAAAUUUUUUAGUUAUUAAAUUUUUGGUUUAUUUAAGUUUGGUUAAUUAGGUUAUGGUUUUUUUUUCUGGUUUAAUGUAUAAACUGAUUUUAUUUGUAAACAAAUUUUAAUUAAUGAAUAAAAUUUAAUUUUUAAAA